GCAAGACCUCGCAGGUGAAAGUAAUUCACCCUAAUUAGUCAAAGCUGGGGUCAAUCAGAGUCUGUUAAAACUGGCUUUUCAGUGUUUGUGGUGUCCCGGUGACGGCAAAGUCAGCACCGCAGUAUUUUAAACACUUCUGAAAAAUGAAGGCUCCUCUCAAAGUGUCGCGCAGAGCGCCACAGCAGCGAAACAAGAAGAGGAUUCGGGAUUACUCUGCGUUCAUUUUCAAAGCCCGAAAAGAGGUGUCUGCAGGCGGGACGAGGACUUCGGAUUUCUUCCAGAGGCGUGGCAGUUCCCCCAGACCUAUCUUGCUCCGGCUGGUCAGUGCUGAGGCGUCCCGGAAGUCCAAAACCAACAGACUUAAAGUGGUGACUCUAAAGGAGAUCCAAGAGGCGGUGUCCCUCAUCAGACAGAGGGUCAGAGCGAGACCUGCAGCAUGACAUCAGAGGACAUUUUAAAUGUUUUACUUUUUAAUAAUAAAGGUGUUUUUUUUUUAUAAGGGAUUGUCUCAUUCAGUUUACAAUUUAAGGCAUUUUUCUCAUGCUUUAUAAUGCAUUUGUUGUUGUGGGGUUGUUGUUUUUUAGACCGGGUUUUCAUUUCAAUUUAGGUCUCUUAAACCCGUUCUGAGCCCAGUUAGUCCUAUUUGAUUUUGCUCUAGUCCAGGGACGUGCACAGAGCCCUGGUGGGUGGGUGGUGUCGUGAGUUGCCCUCUUGUCUUGGUUAAGCACCUGCCCCUCAAAAUGUCUGUGCACGUCACUGCUCUAGUCUUUGUGUAAUGUUACGCCUUAAAGUAGGCUACCCCAGCCUAAUAUUUGAGAACCACCGCUCUCAGUAUUCAGGAGGAGUGUAAUCUGGUGCCAUCUAGGGAUGAGAGGUGCUAUUGCAAUUCCAUCACUGAGUUUAUGCUAAAAUGUAAAUUAAACGUGAUCUUUCUCGAAAUGGCUUGGUGCGUAAAGUUGAGGAAGUAGGUCUUUCAUGAUGCUUAAAUCUGAGGUUGGUAACUCUGAUGCCUUAUGCUUUCAUUCCCUUUCAAUAUAAUUGCAAAUUGCGUUUACCAGUCACACAAUGGUUAAAAUCCACCUGCGCAGGCGUCCUCCCCCCUCUUUCCACCUCAGGACUCGUUUUUUCAUCCCGAUGAGCUGCGCGGACGCACAACCCUCUUCCCUUUACACCUCUCUGACCUUUGAGAUAAUGUAGCCUAUGUGUUAUCUAAUUACGCUACAAAGAAACUGUUGGACAGCGCGUUUGUUUCAGUGAACUGAAGAGGCAGAACCGAGCGCUCCUUCUG
rnacentral:lncRNA from 1 species